rnacentral:lncRNA from 1 species
UUCCUCCUCUGCCUGCGCCGUACCUCGUUCCGCCCACUGUGGCGCGCCUAAAUCGCCGAGCCGUGCAUGUCUCGGACCGCUCCCGCAGCUGUCUGCGACUUUUUUUUAUAUCCCUAGCUCGUCCGCUCCCCCCUUCCGGGGCUUCGCCCCUGCGUCUGCAACUACUGUUUCCAGAAAGUAGGGGCUCAAAAAGGAUGGCGGAGCAUAUCGCGGCCGCAGGGGCUUCUCAGAGGGUCCCCGUUGUGAUGAUAUGACGACCUUAAUGGCGAAUUGAUUGCCGUCGCCGCCUCCUCCCCGGUUCCUACUCUGUUCUCCUUCCGCGCGCGGAAGCUUGAAGGGUGGGGCUUGCCCUGGCGGCGGAUGCAGACGACGCGAAGGUCCCUUUCGACGCUGCGGCGCUACUCAGAUUUAUUUUUGCCCGUCUCCUCCCCCACCGCCCGCUCAGUGCCAGGGGAAGGGGGGAGACAGUGGCAGGAAAAGCUGCUCUCCCCCGUCGGGCAGAUAAGCUGCCUUUAAGGCUCUCUCCACACCUGACGUGAGUUAAUGGCGGAGAGGAGGGCGCUUCCGUCUUCGUCUCACUUCUUCGUCCUCUACCAGAGAUAGAAAAAGUACGCGUCCUCCUCUGUAGAAUUCCGAGCUCGGUCGCUUCACCUGCGUGGUCUGCAGUGGACAAAGAUGGAGAUCGGAGCGCGAUUGAGGGAGAGAAGAGACCGGGAAGCAGGUGGGAAAUUGAACCUGCGGGAGGGCCUGUGAACGAUCGGGCCGAAUCACCAACAGGAUUCACCGUCACAAACCCCCACUUCCCCUGAUGAACAGUCUCCAUUCGCAGGGACGCCGGCGAGGCUCUUCUGCUCGUGAUCAGCGCCGGUAGGGUAACCCUGUCGAUUCUCUGAACUCCUCUGGACCACCACUUCCUCCUCCUCCUCCUCCUCCUCUCUCUAGGGCCGCCGCCGCCGCUGGUCCCCCGCUGCAGAGAGGGACUGCGGCGGCGCUUUCGGC